GCCUCUCCACCUUCCAAACGUUCCUGGUUGCUGAGCCCUUUUGGCUGAUGGUGCUUCUACUUAAUGCCAGUUGCUCCAGAAGCUAUAGUUAAUGAAGUAUGCUGCAGAAGCAUUGCUGAGAGGAAGGAGACCCUGUCAGUACAUUACACCUCUGCUCAAAGAACUGUACCAGCUGUCAAUUUGUUACCAGGCCAUGUUUAAUAAGUUAUGAGACCAAAUGUGCAAGCCAUGUCCAACCAAUCAUCAAGCGUAACUGAAUUUCUUCUCCGUGGAUUCUCUGAUACAGAGGAGUUGCAGUCUCUCCAUUUCAUUGCUUUUCUAAUCAUUUAUUUG